GGAUGUGAUCAUACCAACUCGCCUGCAUCGGAUCCCAUCAGAACUCCGAAGUUAAGUGAGUUUGGGCAAGAGUAGUACUCGGAUAAGUGACCUCCUGGGAAGUCCUCAUGUUGCAUCCC